UUCGCAAUGCCCGAAAGGGUGACGAUGCGACGCCGCGUGAGCGAAGAAGGCCCUAGGGUUGUAAAGCUCUGUCGAGGGUUAUGAAAUAUAGAUGGGUUAAUACCCCAUUUAUUUGACAAAAGCCCAAAAGGAAGCCACGGCUAACUCUGUGCCAGCAGCCGCGGUAAUACAGAGGUGGCGAGCGUUGUUCGGUAUUAUUGGGCGUAAAGAGCACGUAGGUGGUUUUGUAAGUCAGGUGUGAAAGCCUUCUGUUCAAAGGAAGAACGGCAUCUGAAACUGCGGAUCUUGAGUGUAGGAGGGGAGAGUGGAACUUCUGGUGGAGCGGUGAAAUGCGUAGAUAUCAGAAGGAACGUCGGCGGCGAAAGCGACUCUCUGGCCUAUUACUGACACUGAGUGUGCGAAAGUUAGGGGAGCAAACGGGAUUAGAUACCCCGGUAGUCCUAACCGUAAACGAUGGGCACUAAGUAGAGGGGUUUU
rnacentral:rRNA from 1 species